rnacentral:rRNA from 1 species
UAAGGAAUAUUGGUCAAUGGACGCAAGUCUGAACCAGCCAUGCCGCGUGAAGGAUGAAGGUCCUCUGGAUUGUAAACUUCUUUAUCUGGGACGAAAACGGGAUUUUUAUCUCAAUUGACGGUACCAGAGGAAUAAGCACCGGCUAACUCCGUGCCAGCAGCCGCGGUAAUACGGAGGGUGCGAGCGUUAUCCGGAUUUACUGGGUUUAAAGGGUGCGUAGGUGGGCUUAUAAGUCAGUGGUGAAAUCUCCGAGCUUAACUUGGAAACUGCCGUUGAUACUAUAGGUCUUGAAUUAUCUGGAGGUAAGCGGAAUAUGUCAUGUAGCGGUGAAAUGCUUAGAUAUGACAUAGAACACCAAUUGCGAAGGCAGCUUACUACAUAUAAAUUGACGCUGAGGCACGAAAGCGUGGGGAUCAAACA